rnacentral:rRNA from 1 species
UUUUGUGUGUGCAUUCGACGCUCGUAUGUGCAAUUGUCAAUUCAUGGUGGGGACAGACCAUUGUUAAUUGUUGGUCUCGGUCUUAACUAGGAAUGCCUUGUACGGGUCUUUGGUUCAACAAACCACCCGGAAUACGUCCCUGCCCUUUGUACACACCGCCCGUCGCUCUUACCGAUGGACUUCUCUGUGAGUUUGAGGGACUGGAUUUUAUAUCUAUGGAAACUCAAACGAA